UGCCUACGGGACGCAGCAGUGAGGAAUAUUGGUCAAUGGGCGGGAGCCUGAACCAGCCAAGCCGCGUGAGGGAAGAAGGUACAGAGUAUCGUAAACCUCUUUUGUCAGGGAACAAAGGCGGGGACGUGUCCCCGGAUGAGUGUACCUGAAGAAAAAGCAUCGGCUAACUCCGUGCCAGCAGCCGCGGUAAUACGGAGGAUGCGAGCGUUAUCCGGAAUGAUUGGGCGUAAAGGGUGCGUAGGCGGCCUGCUAAGUCUGGAGUGAAAGGUACCGGCUCAACCGGUACAGGCUCGUGAAACUGGCGG
rnacentral:rRNA from 1 species